GACGUAGGGCGCGAGCGUUGUCCGGAUUUAUUGGGCGUAAAGAGCGUGUAGGCGGCCAGAUAGGUCAGCUGUGAAAACUCGAGGCUCAACCUCGAGACGCCGGUUGAAACCAUCUGGCUAGAGUCCGGAAGAGGAGAGUGGAAUUCCUGGUGUAGCGGUGAAAUGCGCAGAUAUCAGGAAGAACACCUAUGGCGAAGGCAGCUCUCUGGGACGGUACUGAGCUG
rnacentral:rRNA from 1 species